rnacentral:rRNA from 1 species
AGGGAAUCUUCGGCAAUGGACGGAAGUCUGACCGAGCAACGCCGCGUGAGUGAAGAAGGUUUUCGGAUCGUAAAGCUCUGUUGUAAGAGAAGAACGAGUGUGAGAGUGGAAAGUUCACACUGUGACGGUAUCUUACUAGAAAGGGACGGCUAACUACGUGCCAGCAGCCGCGGUAAUACGUAGGUCCCGAGCGUUGUCCGGAUUUAUUGGGCGUAAAGCGAGCGCAGGCGGUUAGAUAAGUCUGAAGUUAAAGGCUGUGGCUUAACCAUAGUACGCUUUGGAAACUGUUUAACUUGGGUGCAAGAGGGGAGAGUGGAAUUCCAUGUGUAGCGGUGAAAUGCGUAGAUAUAUGGAGGAACACCGGUGGCGAAAGCGGCUCUCUGGCUUGUAACUGACGCUGAGGCUCGAAAGCGUGGGGAGCAAACAGGAUUAGAUACCCUGGUAGUCCACGCCGUAAACGAUGAGUGCUAGGUGUUAGACCCUUUCCGGGGUUUAGUGCCGCAGCUAACGCAUUAAGCACUCCGCCUGGGGAGUACGACCGCAAGGUUG